GCGAAACGGUGCCAAUGAACAGGUGAUUACCAAAGAAGAAGAGAAUGCUUGCAGAAACUUGUGUCUAGAGUGCAAACGAAUAGAACCGCACGCACGCUAUGGAGAAUGACGGUGGGUUAGUGCGCGUUAGUUAUGCACGUGUCGGGAUAUCCGGGAUUUUUCAAACUGGGCCCAAAAAAAUAAUUUGCGUGGCCUAGAGAGGUAUGUGUUGAUAUAAAUGUGCACCUGUCGGCUUCCGUACUUUUACUAGCCUCGAAUUCUGUGAACUGUGAACUCUGGUCUGGAAGUUCGAGGCUAUACUUUUACGCAGAGCCAUAUAGAGAGAGAGUUGCGACAACCCGUAUCACGGGCGCCAUUUUGUUUCCAUGCGCGCUACGUAAAAAAUCUGUCUAAAAUCAUACUAAGCUACUACUAUUUCUACAUUAAAAAGCUCGAUUUGUGUCGUUUCCUGAUCAUCGUGGUUUCGGGAGAGACGUUGUAUUGUUCAAACAACCGAUCUGAACAGUUUUGACGCUUUUCAAGGAAAACCUCGCGCUUUGGCCUCGGAAUUCCAACAUUUAUAACCGUGUUGUUCUGUACACGUUUCUUUCUGCAAUGAAUGGUAUAAAUAAAACGAUGGCUCAUCAUCAGAAACUCAAGUUACAAAAGUUCACCUUGACUCUGAUUCUUUUCUUUCUCUAACUCCUGUUUCUUUUACGUUUCAUCUGCUUGCAUAGAAUGUGUAAGCGAACAGUCAAGUACUUUGAUAGUAGCUUCUGCUUGAUAUUAUGACAAUUGAGGAACAAAUCAUGUACUGUUAUUUCUUCAGCUUUGUCCAACAAUAAUCUUUUCACAUUUUUUGAUGUCAUCAACACUGAUUCAUCGAAGUUUCUUAGCAUGACUUCUACUUUGAGCAUCAUAGAGAAUGCUUACUCUAAUACCUGAGUAAAGCAUCCUUGCUUAUACUC